rnacentral:rRNA from 1 species
GAUGAACGCUGGCGGCGUGCCUAAUACAUGCAAGUCGAGCGAACAGACGAGGAGCUUGCUCCUCUGACGUUAGCGGCGGACGGGUGAGUAACACGUGGAUAACCUACCUAUAAGACUGGGAUAACUUCGGGAAACCGGAGCUAAUACCGGAUAAUAUAUUGAACCGCAUGUUUCAAUAGUGAAAGACGGUUUUGCUGUCACUUAUAGAUGGAUCCGCGCCGCAUUAGCUAGUUGGUAAGGUAACGGCUUACCAAGGCAACGAUGCGUAGCCGACCUGAGAGGGUGAUCGGCCACACUGGAACUGAGACACGGUCCAGACUCCUACGGGAGGCAGCAGUAGGGAAUCUUCCGCAAAGGGCGAAAGCCUGACGGAGCAACGCCGCGUGAGUGAUGAAGGUCUUCGGAUCGUAAAACUCUGUUAUUAGGGAAGAACAAAUGUGUAAGUAACUAUGCACGUCUUGACGGUACCUAAUCAGAAAGCCACGGCUAACUACGUG